GAAUUCGCCCUUAGAGUUUGAUCCUGGCUCAGGACGAACGCUGGCGGCGUGCCUAAUACAUGCAAGUCGAGCGGGUUUAUCCUUCGGGAUAAGCUAGCGGCGGACGGGUGAGUAACACGUAGGUAACCUGCCUAUGAGAUCGGGAUAACUAUCGGAAACGAUAGCUAAGACCGGAUAACUGGUUUUCUCGCAUGAGAGAAUCAUGAAACACGGAGCAAUCUGUGGCUUAUAGAUGGGCCUGCGGCGCAUUAGCUAGUUGGAAGGGUAACGGCCUACCAAGGCGACGAUGCGUAGCCGACCUGAGAGGGUGAACGGCCACACUGGGACUGAGACACGACCCAGACUCCUACGGGAGGCAGCAGUAGGGAAUCUUCCGCAAUGGACGCAAGUCUGACGGAGCAACGCCGCGUGAGUGAUGAAGGUUUUCGGAUCGUAAAGCUCUGUUGCCCUAGACGAACAGCAAGGAGAGUAACUGCUCUUUGUGUGACGGUAUAGGAGAAGAAAGCCCCGGCUAACUACGUGCCAGCAGCCGCGGUAAUACGUAGGGGGCAAGCGUUGUCCGGAAUUAUUGGGCGUAAAGCGCGCGCAGGCGGUCCAUUAAGUUGGGUGUUUAAGCCCGGGGCUCAACCCCGGUUCGCAUCCAAAACUGGUUGACUUGAGUGUAGGAGAGGAAAGUGGAAUUCCACGUGUAGCGGUGAAAUGCGUAGAGAUGUGGAGGAACACCAGUGGCGAAGGCGACUUUCUGGCCUAUAACUGACGCUGAGGCGCGAAAGCGUGGGGAGCAAACAGGAUUAGAUACCCUGGUAGUCCACGCCGUAAACGAUGCAUACUAGGUGUUGGGGAUUCGAUUCCUCGGUGCCGAAGUUAACACAGUAAGUAUGCCGCCUGGGGAGUACGCUCGCAAGAGUGAAACUCAAAUGAAUUGACGGGGGCAAGGGCGAAUUC
rnacentral:rRNA from 1 species